rnacentral:rRNA from 1 species
GCGGCAAAGCUCAAAUUUGAAAUCUGGCACUUUCAGUGUCCGAGUUGUAAUUUGAAGAAGGUAUCUUUGGGUCUGGCUCUUGUCUAUGUUUCUUGGAACAGAACGUCACAGAGGGUGAGAAUCCCGUGCGAUGAGAUGUCCCAGACCUAUGUAAAGUUCCUUCGAAGAGUCGAGUUGUUUGGGAAUGCAGCUCUAAGUGGGUGGUAAAUUCCAUCUAAAGCUAAAUAUUGGCGAGAGACCGAUAGCGAACAAGUACAGUGAUGGAAAGAUGAAAAGAACUUUGAAAAGAGAGUGAAAAAGUACGUGAAAUUGUUGAAAGGGAAGGGCUUGAGAUCAGACUUGGUAUUUUGUAUGUUACUCUCUCGGGGGUGGCCUCUACAGUUUACCGGGCCAGCAUCAGUUUGAGCGGUAGGAUAAGUGCAAAGAAAUGUGGCACUGCUUCGGUAGUGUGUUAUAGUCUUUGUCGAUACUGCCAGCUUAGACUGAGGACUGCGGCUUCGGCCUAGGAUGUUGGCAUAAUGAUCUUAAGUCGCCCGUCUU